GCAGAGCCUAGCGGGCAUGGACAGAAGAGAAACAUGAGUCAUUAUAGGAGAAACAUUAACCAGCAAAAACUGAGCUAGAAAUGAAAGACGGAGGAGUAGCAGAAAAACCAUAAAACAGCUAUUAUUAAUGCUGAAAAUUUGCCAACAAUGUAAAAGAAAACAUGCCUACAAUGAGAGAGAUGGAAGAUUUGAAAAGAUUCAUUUGGAACUUCCAAGGAUGAAAAAAUGCAGCAUUUCGAAGACAGUUGCCAAGACCUUGCACGCAAUCGAAUGACCGCCACGGUGUAGACCGUUUUUAACGAGCAUGCUGCUUUUGGUUCCUACACGUCACCUCCAUGCUCAGCCAGCACCUAAAGAAGCACUGAAACAGACACGUUUGGAUAUUGCAAAGAAACGCAUGGCACUUGCGGAAGUCACUUAUGCUACAGGGGCCAGUGAUUAAUAAUAUGGCCUCUGGGGCCUGAUCCGUGAGCUCAGGUGCCAACUGUGCUCCAAGUGGCUCUGACAUGUCACCCUUCUGAAUGUCAGGUGCUCGUUCCUUGCAGGGGACACUGCUCUCCAGCUCGCAGUGAGGAUGGAGCGAGGCCCUGUGUGCAGGGCCGUUACUGUUGGUGUCCUCCUGAGCAGCUCGUCCCUGUUGCACCCAGGUUUCCAGAGCACCCGUCUGACACGACAUGGAGAAAAUGGUCCAGCGCGUCCUCCUGCAUUCCUCAAUUCAGCCUAUGUGGGGAGUCAUCGCCUCGGAUCAUUGUUGCUCAAUCUACCGUGGCAUUCCAUCCAACUUAUAAUUCACUAUCACUUCUAAAUCUGUGCAACGAGUCUGCUUCAGACUUCCAUCUUCCCCAUGAAAAAUGUGCUUCUAUUUCCCGCUUAAGAGCUGUGUCCCAAGAGAAGUAACAAUUUGAUGACUUCGUCGCCUGGCUACUGAGUGAUCUGCAUUCCAGGAGAAAAAACACAGAACAAGUCAAUCCUUAUCACAUGGAAACAAUUCAGGUUUGCAGAAAACCAAACCACUGCUGUGACGAACGAGAUGUAGACACCAGAAGAAUGCCGCUUAUGUCCAAACGAAUGACUAAAGCCGUGGGAAUGAAGCUCUUCGUUAAGCCUCCUCAGAGUCGUUUUGUAGAAAACAGUUUUAAUAACCUUUGGUUGCUGUCAGUCAAUCUUGUUUUCUUGGCUGGGUGCUGUUUUAGGUUCACCUUGAUCCCAGAGUUACGGGUAGUUAAAUUCCCAUUUAAUGCUUAGUUAGCCUAACUCUUCCUGCUUACGCAUUAAUGAUCUUUAUAAGGAAAUUCUACCGUUCUAUCCACUCUGGAAUCCUGUGUUACCCAACCCCAAGAGAACUCUGAUUUGGCUAUCUUUUUGGAAUCAACUCCCAAAGGAACUUAAUACAGUGGUCUCAUGCCCAAAUGUAGUUUGGCUAUGAAUCACAGUGUAAAAGUCAGCAGGUAUAAGGGUUCCUGACUGUACCCACUCAGAGAUGGGAAGAGAGAAAUACUCAAAAAUAUCGGUGACUAUGUCAGAUAUUUAAAGAUGCCCAGGAAAGCUAAACAUAACAAAAUAUGCCAAUUCCUGAAUUUCCGGUGACAGUGGGUGGGGAGAGUUAAGGCCCGUGAGGUUUGCGUGAGGAAGUCCAGGCUGGUUUCUCUCUGCGGUAGAUGGUGGGUGUUAAAGGCGGGGCACCCGGUUAGCAUGCUCAGCACCUCACAGCUCGCUCCCUGCCACCUCGGUUUUGUCAUCACAGAAGCACAGGAGACAAAUAAAUGACUCGGGUAGCUUAACCCUUCGGACGAGGCCUCACAGGUGUGUUGUGAGGCUUGAGCCAAAUCUACGUCGGCAAACUAAACAAAAAGAUUGUUCAGUAGCUAGUGGCCACUGGAAUGUGGAUCAUACAAAUGUGGUAAUGGGAGAAAUCAGAAUCAACACACGUAAAGAAGCUCCACACGUAAAGCCAUAUGGUUUUUGAAGGACAGAAUUAUGUGACAUAAGCAGUGUUUUGUUGCAUGGGCUGCACACCCAGUCUCGUUUGUGUCCUCAGAGCCCCACAGAAACAGCUCUUCCAAAGGCCAUCUUCAUGUCACCAAGUCAAAGAGCCAUUUUUUGGUCCUCAUUCUUUUUUGAACUUCUAGCAGCAUUUAGUGCAAUGGACCACUUCCUCCUUCCUGAAAUACCUUCUUUCCACGGUCUCCACGACAUCCCCCUUUUCUGUUUUUCACUAAACCACACUGGAUGAUCUUCCUUAGAACUCUUUGCUGGGUCCUCUUUUUCCACACAAACCGUGAAUGCUGCCUUUCCACCAAGUUCGUAUCCAGGUUGAUGGCUUCGAUUACUGUGUAAUUCUCGGCACCUUCCCAUUUUGAUUUCUGGCUCUGACUCAAGUAUACAAGUGUUUAUUAGACAUUUCCACUUAGACGUUUUAAGGCAUCUUGAAUCCCACAUGCCACGGAUGAGGUUCUGGGUUUCCCUUGCCCCCUCGCCCCUGUGCCACCCACUGUGCCUAGUUCUGAACCCCUUUAAAGCCCCACAGCUCAAUGAGGGCUCCUGCAUCUAGCUGUCAUUACCAGAUGUUUGAGGAAACCUUGGCACUCAUCAACAAGGCAGACGCUGGCUGUCCCUCCAGAAAGACCUGUGAUCUAUCAACAGGACACUGUGCACUGAGGGAUAGGGACAAUCUGAUUUUCUGGGGGUGACUGGAUGAGAUCUCUGAAAGGACAUUAACCCUAGAGACACAAAUUAUCACCGUGGCCUGUUGGCCAAAAGGCGGCUUGAGGCAGCAGGUGAUAGGUAGAUUUGCAGCACAAGCCUUUUUCACAGGGGGUCCAGUUAGGCCAUGGGCUUAUCUUGUGGCUAUUGCUGAAGUCCUAGAGGCUUCAUAUAUUUGCUACCUGUCGGAAUCCCCCCGUGGGUCUUCUUAUCUUCAGAGUAAGGACUGUUAGGAAGAAGGGCCCAAAUGGCAGUUCCUGGAAAUGCCCUCAUCCUCAAAAUAGUAAAUCAGAUGAUCUGGAGGAAUAACAGAGAUUGUGUCUCCAUGGAGACGUCAUGAAGUAGAGGUGGGGAUUCCUGUUCCCCCUUCCCCCAUAUAACUUGUCUGUUUGCCUGGUGGAAAAGCCAGAUGGAUCUUGCAGAAUGACAUGGAUUAUAACAAACGUAAUCAGCAGUGAUGACAAUCGCAGCUGCUGUACCAGAUGUGGUAUCUUCCUUGGAAUAAAUCAACAUAGCCUCUGGCCACCGAUAUGUACCCUGCA